GCAUUUAUGAGGAGUCCCAUACUAGGACGAAACGGCCGUCCAGUGU
rnacentral:hammerhead_ribozyme from 1 species